UGUAGUCAUAUGCUUGUCUCAAAGAUUAAGCCAUGCAUGUCUAAGUAUAAACAACUUUAUACUGUGAAACUGCGAAUGGCUCAUUAAAUCAGUUAUAGUUUAUUUGAUAGUACUUACUACUUGGAUAACCGUGGUAAUUCUAGAGCUAAUACAUGCGAAAAGACCCGACUUCUGGAAGGGUUGUAUUUAUUAGAUAAAAAACCAAUGGGGGCAGCCUCUUUGUGGUGAUUCAUAAUAACUUUGCGGAUCGCAUGGCCUUGUGCCGGCGAUGAAUCAUUCAAAUUUCUGCCCUAUCAACUUUCGAUGGUAAGGUAUUGGCUUACCAUGGUUGCAACGGGUAACGGGGAAU
rnacentral:rRNA from 1 species